GAUGAAAGCGAGGAGGCAUUUAUGAAACGGUCAUCGGCAUACACAUUCUGGCAGCACUACUUUUUCGCAACGCAGGACGCUGGCGCAUCCUGGCUGGCCCGCCUGAGCGCAUCGCAGCGCUUGCAGAUGCUGGACUCGGUGAUGCAGUGGGAGGUUACAACCCCCGUUUCCCUGAAACGCCUCUCCCGCCAACAUCGAGUGUAACUGAGUAUUGGUGUUCUUCACCGGCCAGCAGUUUCUACUGCUGGCUUUUUUC
rnacentral:sRNA from 1 species